rnacentral:lncRNA from 1 species
GAGCUUGUGUUUUCUUGGCUAGGUUGGACAAGGAUAACCUUGAACUCCUGAUCCUCUCUCUCAUCUCCAUCUUCCAGGAAUAUCCUAGGAAGCUUGUGGCAGCCAAGGGUGACAGACACAGUGGCUAAAUAAAGACUUUGCCUGAAACAUAGUGGAAAUUGAGUACUGGAUGCUGAGGUGACAUAUUCUUUGACCCCUAAGUGUGUACACACAGUCACAUGAAUGUACACAUACAUACACACACACAUGCAUAUACACAUACAUACACACCUGAGUAUACACACAAAAACCACAAAAUUAAUGAACCGACUGGGGUUGCCGAUGUGGCUCAGUUAGUUAGUGGAGUGAUUGUGUACAUGCUCGGAGUCCCCAGUUCUGUCCUCUGAAUGAUAUGAGCUGUGUGUUGAUUGGUGGCUACAAUUCCGAAACUCAGAAGAUGAAGGCUGGAGGAUCAGAAGCUCAAGGUCAUCCUUGCCGUGAUUGAGGCUAAGUUGUGCUCUAUAAGAGUCUGUCUGAAAAUAAGAGUUAAAAAGAGCUGCUAUAAGACCUAGUAGUUCUUUUCCUAGGAGUAUAUCCAAGGGAAUUAAAAUCUUAGGCCUACACAAAAACUCAUUGAAGAAUGUCAUCAACCUAAGUAUCUGUCACCUGAUAAUAAAGUACAUAAAAUAUA